GACGUAGGGGGCCAGCGUUGUUCGGAAUUACUGGGCGUAAAGCGCACGUAGGCGGACUCUUAAGUCGGUGGUGAAAUCCUGGAGCUCAACUCCAGAACUGCCUUCGAUACUGGGAGUCUCGAGUCCGGGAGAGGUGAGUGGAACUGCGAGUGUAGAGGUGAAAUUCGUAGAUAUUCGCAAGAACACCAGUGGCGAAGGCGGCUCACUGGCCCGGUACUGACGCUGAGGUGCGAAAGCGUGGGGAGCAAACAGG
rnacentral:rRNA from 1 species